rnacentral:rRNA from 1 species
GACAGAGGGGGGCAAGCGUUGCUCGGAAUUACUGGGCGUAAAGGGCGCGUAGGCGGGAUGGCAAGUCGGUCGUGAAAUCCCUCGGCUCAACCGAGGAACGUCGAUCGAUACUGCUGUUCUUGAGGAUUGCAGAGGAGACUGGAAUUCCCGGUGUAGUGGUGAUAUGCGUAGAUAUCGGGAGGAACACCUGUGGCGAAGGCGGCUUUCUGGGCCUUACCUGACGCUGAGA